rnacentral:miRNA from 1 species
CCAUCGUGCCACGUUACGAUCC